GGACGGAGGAUUUGCAGAGAAUCCCUCUGGAUCCCGCUGCGACCGCCCUGGAGCCCUCUGAGAACACCUGGGAACCCCUGGGACCCCCUUAAGGAAGCGCCUGGAGGGGAGAACUGGGGGGAUCCGGAAAUUUGGGAGAUCUGGGGGUGCAAAGAAAGAAGUGGAGCAAGUGAACCAUUAUAGGAACAUACUGAAACCAGUAGAACAAUGCCCAGCACCUGAUGAAGACCUUCCUGACUUCAUCCCUGGGACCACUGGCCCAAUUUGAGACCACCGACCCAAUUCAAGAGAAGAAUUGCGCACGCGUGAAAGACUAAUAAUCUCACUUUAAUACAAAGCAGGGAUGGGAGGUGCUGGGGUUGUGUUUAUGUAUUAUUUUGGGAAAUAAACAGAAGGCAAAAAUCCUUAUGCAGUGCGGUCAUGCAUUUUGAGAAUGACUCCCCUGUGCUGCCCACCAGUGUAAUAAACAUGCAACUUUCUAA